GCAGAGAGAGGUGGAGGGGACCUGGGUGACUGGGAGGCCUCUCCCUCGCCGCCCACGGCCAGGGGUGGGCCAGGCCCCAAACGGACUCCGUCCUCCCAGAACUGGGGCAGGCCUGGGUACUCGCGGACUCCCCACCGCAGGCGCAGCCCCGAGGCUGAGCUGGGAGCCCUGUUUAACCUGGGGAUGCCGUCGCCGCGGCGCUUCUACCCGCACCGACUGUGCCAAACGAGGCGGGGCUCGCCCGGGGCGGACUUACUUGAGUUCCACUGACCACGAGCCCGGCCAUGGCGACGGGGCGGACGCGCGGCACCCAGCGCGGAGCGCGGCGGCGGCUGGCAGCGCGGGCCGAGCGCACAGUUCCGCACUGAGCGGUCAGCUGACCCGGCGGAAGCCCGAGGCUGGCCGGGCGUGAGGACCUCGGCUCUUCGGCGCGCACGCCCAAGGUCCCGGGGCCGACUCUCGCGCAGAUGCACUGCUUUGGAAAUCAUCUGCUCCAACUACUUAGGAAGAACUAAGGCCUAACAAGUAGAAGGGACUUGCCCAAGGUCAUCCAGCAAAUGAAUGGAUCCCCCCAGGCCAGAACACUCUGAUCCUGUGAAGAAAAUGAAAGAGGACUCCUCCUAUAAGCCAGUAAGAACAGGGUGAGAGACUGGGGAGGAGCAACGGAAAGAUACCAUUUCACAUCUAAUCGCCUCUUGUCACAUUGUAACCAUUUCCCUCAUAUGGAGCCCCAUGCUGAUGGAUCAGAAAUAACAUUUUCAAAGUUAUAUCUUCAAGGAAAUGGCUGUUAAUGUUCUUCCUCUCCUUUUAGAGCACUGAGGAAUACAUAUUAAUUUUCUCUCUACUUACAUUGCCUAUUUGCAAAUUGUAUUCACUACCCAAUGCUCCAAUUUGCCCUACCUAGAGAUUAUGAUGAAUAAAUGUGUUCCUGGAAAUAAAAUAAUAAAAAAUUUGUCACUGA